rnacentral:snoRNA from 1 species
AUGCAUCUUUGACAGACCUGGAGCAGUUAACAUCUGCUCCUAAGACUUCCACUAAAGAUACAAGAAAAAGAAGGUACUCAUGCUUUCUGUCUGCUCGCUGUGGCAGCAAGAUUGAAUGGGGGAAUACAGGG